UGUUAUUUAAUUAAAUCAUUUAUAAUUGUUUUAGUAGGUGUGACCGAACUAAACUGUUUGUUGUGCGGCGAUAGUUGAUUUUAGUAGCGUGAGCGAAGGUUGAGUAAUCAGUUAGGUAUCAGUGGUGGGUUCUCGUACCUUUUGCAUCAUGGUUUUACUACUGUUUAUCCAGAGGUAGUAGCCCGAAGGCUAGAUGAUCUACUUUCUUGCUACGGGUUGGCGUUGAAUUGCUAUCCGGAGACGAGGGUGUAGUGGCGAAAUACUUUUCGCAUUGGUUGAUAGCUGGUUGUCCUGGAAAUAUAUUUAAGUAUAGCCCUAUUUGAGACGUGCGCUACGUUUGAUCAAGUGUUGUAAAGUGUCGUUUACUUUUUAGGAGGUGGCCUUUCCAGGCUAAGCUGGUAAGGUGCCUACAAAGGAUAAUUAGUUGAUUUUUAGGGUUAGAAGUAGGUUUGAAGUAGCCAUCUUUGUGGAGUGGGUUAUACCACAUAUAGUCCUUUUUAAGUAGAUAAAAUUUUUAUUAAUCUUUUAAUUGUACGGGACUUUUCCUCGUAAUUGUUUUAGUGGAAGAGAUAAUGUAAAUAUGAGUAAUCUGGAUAGUUGUUUGCUUUUUAUUUCUAGGUAAAAGGUGUUAGAGUGUGGUAUAUUAGUAAACAAACUUUAAGGAACUYGGCAAAUAAAGGGGACCGCCUGUUUWWCAAAAACAUGGCUUUUUGUCUAACAUAAAAGGUCGUGCCUUCCCGGUGGGCAUAUGGGCCUAAACGGACGCGGUAAAUCGUGCUAAGGUAGCUAAAUUAUGGCCCAUUAAUUGUGGGUCCUGUGAAUGGUUUGACGAGUCCUCGGCUGUCUCAAGGUUGUUUUGGUGAACUUGAAUUGAAUGUGCAAAUGCUUUCAUAGGUAAGAAAGACGAGAAGACCCCGUGAAGUUAGAAAUUCUUGCCAUAACGAAAAUUCUUAUUUGAAAUGGUUUUAGCCCAGAGUGUGGGUUUAUAGGCUUGGUUGGGGAGUGUGGUUCUUGUGUUUUGGCUGGGGCAGCAAAGAGGCAAGUCUAGACCUCUUUUGAUUUUAAACGGGUGCGUUACGACCCAUUAGUUUUAAAGGUGUGAUUAGCAGAAGUAGUUACUCCGGGGAUAACAGCGUUAUCCGCCCCGAUAGCUCUUAUAGACGGGCGGGUUUGCGACCUCGAUGUUGGCUCUGGUUAUCCUGAGGCUUGUAGGAGGUCUCAAGGGUUGGUUCGUUCGCCCAUUAAAAUCCGACGUGAGCUGAGUUCCAGAUCGGUGAAAGCUAGGUCGGUUUCUAUCUUCUUUCUUUUGAUUUUAGGUGAAGGGGUACGAAAGGACAUUUCAUCUUAGGUUGUUUUCUGUGGAUAUGAAUUUAAAAUAA
rnacentral:rRNA from 1 species